GGAGAGAUGGCAGAGUGGUAAUGCAGCAGAUUGCUAAUCUGUAGCCGGGUAACUGGCUCCAGGGUUCGAGUCCCUGUCUCUCCGCAA
rnacentral:tRNA from 3 species